AGUGAACGCUGGCGGUAGGCCUAACACAUGCAAGUCGAACGGCAGCACAGAGGAGCUUGCUCCUUGGGUGGCGAGUGGCGGACGGGUGAGGAAUACAUCGGAAUCUACUCUGUCGUGGGGGAUAACGUAGGGAAACUUACGCUAAUACCGCAUACGACCUACGGGUGAAAGCAGGGGAUCUUCGGACCCUGCGCGAUUGAAUGAGCCGAUGUCGGAUUAGCUAGUUGGCGGGGUAAAGGCCCACCAAGGCGACGAUCCGUAGCUGGUCUGAGAGGAUGAUCAGCCAAACUGGAACUGAGACACGGUCCAGACUCCUACGGGAGGCAGCAGUGGGGAAUAUGGGACAAUGGGCGCAAGCCUGAUCCAGCCAUACCGCGUGGGUGAAGAAGGCCUUCGGGUUGUAAAGCCCUUUUGUUGGGAAAGAAAUCCAUCUGGUUAAUACCCGGGUGGGAUGACGGUACCCAAAGAAUAAGCACCGGCUAACUUCGUGCCAGCCGCCGCAGUAA
rnacentral:rRNA from 1 species